rnacentral:lncRNA from 1 species
ACACCCUUUAAUAAUAAUUUCUCGAAUUGUCCAAAGGAAACUAUGGCUGUCUGUUUCCACUGUGCUAAACACCUGGAUGAAGGCUGCUGAGAGGGAGUCCCUUGAACAGGCCCCGUGUCCUCAUUUCCCCGUAGCCUGGAGGGUCGGUGACUGUUUCACAACCCCAAAUAAUUCUCCACCAUGAAAAAGCAAAGCCCGCACACUGGAGCCUCCUUUUAUGAGGACAGAGAACUAGACAAGAAUAGGCUUUUGUCUGCCAUGAGGAAAAUGCCUGAGUUUUGAGAGACUGAAAGAAAUAUUACAUUGUUCUUAUUCCACAAUUUGCAAAUAAUUAUUUCCUUCCAAGCUCA